AUACCGUGAUGUGGGCAAUUCUUCAACAACACUUUAAAAUGGUUGAAUGCUUCAUGAAAUAGCUCACCUAAUUGUUAGAAAUUUCUAAUAUCCUUCCGAGCAU
rnacentral:snoRNA from 1 species